rnacentral:piRNA from 1 species
UCAAUGACUGGAUCCACCAGUUGGGCACUAUU